rnacentral:rRNA from 1 species
UGAACGCUGGCGGCGUGCCUAAUACAUGCAAGUCGAGCGAACAGACGAGGAGCUUGCUCCUCUGACGUUAGCGGCGGACGGGUGAGUAACACGUGGAUAACCUACCUAUAAGACUGGGAUAACUUCGGGAAACCGGAGCUAAUACCGGAUAAUAUAUUGAACCGCAUGGUUCAAUAGUGAAAGACGGUUUUGCUGUCACUUAUAGAUUGAUCCGCGCCGCAUUAGCUAGUUGGUAAGGUAACGGCUUACCAAGGCAACGAUGCGUAGCCGACCUGAGAGGGUGAUCGGCCACACUGGAACUGAGACACGGUCCAGACUCCUACGGGAGGCAGCAGUAGGGAAUCUUCCGCAAUGGGCGAAAGCUUGACGGAGCAACGCCGCGUGAGUGAUGAAGGUCUUCGGAUCGUAAAACUCUGUUAUUAGGGAAGAACAAAUGUGUAAGUAACUAUGCACGUCUUGACGGUACCUAAUCAGAAAGCCACGGCUAACUACGUG